AACUGCUCCUUCAUCGGGAUCGUUGCGACGCAGAGUGCGCGAGCGGCGACAAGCGGAAAAAACUCGCGCGGAAGGAGAACGACUCGCGAGAGAACUCCGUGAGCAGAGAGCUAUAGAUAAACUUGAGAGUCAGAGAAAGGCGCGCGAGGAGCUGGCGACGUACGAGCCAUGGGGACGGGCGGGCGGCGGCGCACCCAACCCGCAGGGCGUGCGCUUCUCAAACAUACGAGCCACCGGAAUAUUUCCCGAGGACGAACUUAGAGGUGUUUCGAUAUACGAGGCGUGUAGAAACUGGGCAUUAACACAACAACGUCGUAAGCGACAAACUCCAAUAAAACUACGAGAAGAUCCACAGUUGUGUUAUGCGGAGAAUCUGCGUAAAAGUGUGGACAAUGACAUCCGAUACAAGCAGUCUCCGAAUCAACAAAUGCUUUAUAAGCAAG